GAAUUCACUGGGCGCAUCUUACAAGUAAUUUUUGGAUUCUGCAUUGACUGCCUACAAGUGCCUUCUGGGUGCAAGUCCACAGGCAAGAUUUGUUCUGCAAAUCUUCCAUGACCAAGGUCACCUCUUUGGAUUGGCAGACCCAGGGAGUCCAUAUUGGGAAGAUAAAUUCACACUUCACCCCUUGUUGAGAUCUCCAGCCUUGCUCCUCUGAUAACCAGUUUUUGGCAUCUCAGAUGAGGAAGAGUGAUGGGCAACAGGUGAUGGUGACAACUAUUAAUAAGAUCUGAAAGUAAACAGUCUCAUGAAAGGUGGCCAGGAGAGGGCAGUCACCUUUUAUCAGGAGCACAGACUGAAUUUGCAAAGGGUCCUACAGGUAUGGAUCUCUGGCAGCUGCUGUUGACCUUGGCACUGGCAGGAUCAAGUGAUGCUUUUUCUGGAAGUGAGGCUCUGAAAUAUCUACUUCCAAGAGAACGAAAUUUAUUCAAGAAAUGUUGGAUGGAAAUUGAAGAGUGAGCUUGGAAACAAGACACAGAGUGGCAGGAGCCCAGACCAACCUGUUUAUGAAAGAUGCCUUUGCCCAUAGAGGGAAAAAUACACCUUAAAACCUCUGCCAAA
rnacentral:sRNA from 1 species